rnacentral:tRNA from 1 species
GGCCAGGUGGCGGAGUGGUUAACGCGGUAGACUCGAAUCAUUCGAAGCAAUCUACUUCCUUCGGGAGCGUCUGUUCGAAUCAGGCCCUGGUCG